UUGGUCCUAAACUUGCCAUUGUUUUUAAUAAAAAUUACACAUGCAAGCUUCAACACACCAGUGAGAAUGCCCACAAACCCCUAAACAGUCUACAGGAGCAGGCAUCAGGAACACCCGCUGUUCGCCUACAACGCCUUGCUAUGCCACACCCACAAGGGCCCUCAGCAGUGAAAGAUAUUAAGAAAUAAGCGAAAGCUUGACUUAGUUAUUAUUGAUAUGGUCGGUAAAUUUCGUGCCAGCCACCGCGGUUAUACGAAAGACCAGAAACAAUGACCCACGGCGUAAAGAGUGAUAAAAGAAACACCCCAUUUAAAAGGAAACUACAACAAAGCCGUAAAACGCUACCGAUCGCAGGAACCACAACAACAAAAUGCCUUUAAGCCACUUAACCUCACGAAAGCCGAGAAACAAACUGGGAUUAGAUACCCCACUAUGCUCAGCCGUCAACAAAGACAGUACAAAAUACAAUACUGUUCGCCAGAGAACUACAAGCUAAAACUCAAAACUCCAAGGACUUGGCGGUGCUCCACACCAACCUAGAGGAGCCUGUCCUAUAAUCGAUACCCCACGAUCUACCUCACCACUUUUUGAAACUCAGCCUAUAUACCGCCGUCGUCAGCCUACCUUAUGAAAGAAGUAUAGUAAGCAAAAUAGUCAUCAACUAAAACGUCAGGUCAAGGUGUAGCACAUAAAGUGGAAGAGAUGGGCUACACUCUCUCCCCCAGAGGACACGAACAGCAUCAAUGAAACCCUGCUCAAAGGUGGAUUUAGCAGUAAGAUAAACAAGAAAACUUAUCUUAAACCAGCCCUGGAGCGCGCACACACCGCCCGUCACCCUCAUCA
rnacentral:rRNA from 1 species